UACGAGAGGUGCAAGCGUUAUUCGGAUUUAUUGGGCGUAAAGGGCGCGUAGGUGGCACAUUAAGUCAACUGUUAAAUUCUCCGGCCCAACUGGAGGCAAGCGGUAGAUACUGAUGAGCUAGAGGAUGAGAGAGAGAGGUGGAAUUCUCGGAGUAGCGGUAAAAUGCGUAGAUCUCGAGAGGAACACCAAUGGCGAAGGCAGCUUCUUGGCUCAUUCCUGACACUGAGGCGCGAAAGCGUGGGGAGCAAACAGG
rnacentral:rRNA from 1 species